rnacentral:rRNA from 1 species
UACAGAGGUGGCAAGCGUUGUUCGGAAUUACUGGGCGUAAAGGGCGCGUAGGCGGCCUUCUAAGUCGGACGUGAAAUCCCCAGGCUUAACUUGGGAACUGCGUCCCGAUACUGGAGGGCUUGAGUGCGGGAGAGGGAUGUGGAAUUCCAGGUGUAGCGGUGAAAUGCGCAGAUAUCGGGAAGAACACCCGUGGCUAAGGCGGCUCUCUAGUACGGUACUGACGCUGAGACGCG